rnacentral:lncRNA from 1 species
AAGUAGUUCUGCCUUCAUGAAACAAAAUAAGUAUUUCUGGAUAUGUAUCCUUCCUGCUCCUGAUAUUUCUGUUUAGUGCUGCCUGUGAUAUGCCUGACACGGUGUUGAGAGGUAUGACUGAAUGCCUCUGGUUAUGUGAACAUUAUCAACAGGGAGAGAGCCCCAUCAAAUGCUGCACAGCACUUGGCCAUCCAGCCUACACCUGUGCUUACAGUGGCAUCUCCAGGUCCAUCAUGAAGUGCAUUAAUGAAGAAGUCUGCCGUGAUCUUUGCUAGGCCUGCCCUGUGGAUAAAUCAAACCUCACAGGCUAAGGAGUCUGCUUCAUUCCCCCACAGGAAAUUACCUAAAUCAGACAACACAAAUCACAUUUUGUGAAAUCUGCUAAUUGAAAAUGUCAGCUAUUCAUAUCCCCUCUCUGUACCCUAACAAACCUUUCCUGUCAUUCACCAGUCCACUUUAAUUGUUGGGAUUUUGCCACUGCACUGGUGCUGCUUCCUAGCUCUGAACACUGAUCAGUUUGCAUUGGGCCACAGCUUUGCCCUGGAAGAAAUAAUCAGCAAAGAUAAAUGCAAUUUAUGUGGUGUGAAGCCAACAAACAGCUGCAUGGUCAACAUAAUUUUGCUGUGUUGUUUUGGAUGUAAAAGACUGAAACAGUCCUCACGUUAUACACUGGAUUUUCUUAUUAUGAUUAUUUCAGGACCAUUAAAGAAUGGGAAGUAAACUCCAGCAAGCAGCUAUUCACAGACUUAUGCUUUAAUGACAUCUGGUGGCCAGGUCAAUACAUCAUUUUCUCUUGCAGUGAAUCAUCAUUUUGCGGUAUUUUCUUUUAAAAUAUAGGAUGUGUUUUCUUUUUAAAACCUUUUAUGGCUUCUUGGUGCUUUCUUUAUCAAUGUUCUCAUUGAACUGAACACAAAAAAUUGUUCAUUUGAUUUUCAGUAACAGCUUCAUAAAGCAAAUGAUUCAGCAUUUGGCUUCUCCCCCCAUCACAGACAUCUGUUGUGGAAACAGAUGUCAUCCCAUAAACCUGCCAAGCCAAUUCAGCUAUUUCUCCAAAGGGACUGAGUGGGAAUAGUUGCUGAGAUGCUGCCCACUAGGAUGACUGACUCACCCUACUGUACCCAGACAAAGCUUUAGAGAGCUAUUAUGUGGGUAUGUACGGGGGGAGGGGUCCCAAUAGUAUCACCAAAAGUAUCUAAAACUGACUGAUGUUUAGAUACCCUGAUCUAGAAUUUAGACCAACAAGCUAAUUGUUACUGAUCUUUUCCUGCAAUUGAAAAAAGGACAAUAAAUCUACCGCUUUCUUGUUAUUAAUAAA